AAAAACUUUUUAAAAUUCAAAUGGAAACUUUUUCGCGGGAAAAAAUGCCGUCACCCCCCACUCCUCCGUUACCCGAAAUCCUCAGCCAAAAAAUUUCAAACGGCACAACGUCUUCAACCGGCAACAUGACCGCGCGGAUUUUUAGUCUCGGCAACCACUCAUCCAAUUUUUCAUUAAUUAAGUCGACGCAAAUAAUCUCUCGCGUAGAGAAUCGAAGAUCACUUAUGAAUAGCGAGCUGAAUUACGAAUGGAGACAGCUGGAACGUGAAAUAUGGCACGUGGUGCAGACAGGAAUGGCUGCGCCUUAUGGUGGGGGUGUAUUUCCACCUCCGGUUAACGGAGUAACUGGGGUCGUGGGGGCCUCGGGAGCUGCUGGAGAAGUAAAACCACCUCCGCCAGUACCGGUAAAAGAGGAAAAUACCGGAUCUCAGCAGCAAGCAACCCCUGGAGGGCCACAAAUACAAACCACACAAGGGACGCAACAUCAAACUGCGCCAGGUGCGCCGGCUGCAACUAGUUUUAGUCCACCACCUCCUCCAAAUGGGGUUGAUCAACAGGCAAUUUCAGAGGUAUUUCAAGCAGCAGUGCAAGCAGCAGCAGUGCAAGCCGCAGCAGUAGCAGCAGCGAACAGCGGAGGUCAGCAACCAGCACCAACCUCAGGUGGGACUGAAGCAAGUCCUGAGGGUGGAGUUGAGAAUAACAGCAUGGUGCCCGUUACGUCGGGAGCGACGACACCGGCGACAGCGACACAAGGAACUGACCUCAAGGGUCAGCCAAAGCGACUCCACGUCAGCAACAUACCUUUUCGUUUCAGAGACCCUGAUCUCAGGGCAAUGUUUGGACAAUACGGUCCUAUUUUGGAUGUAGAAAUAAUAUUUAACGAACGUGGGAGUAAGGGAUUCGGUUUUGUAACAUUCGCGAAUAGUGCCCAUGCGGACCAGGCACGUGAGAGGCUACACGGCACCGUGGUUGAGGGCAGAAAGAUUGAGGUGAACAACGCAACAGCGAGAGUGCAGACGAAAAAACCACCGACAGUGCCAAAUGUUUGUGUCCAAUGGCCAGAGGGAUACAGGUUGCCGGCCGUGCCCUGGAGUUGGCUAGGAGCGGCCGCGCCAUCGGCAGCCGCAGCAGCCGCUGUAGCAGCAGCCGCAGUGACGCCAUCCCCUGCAGCUGCACCCCUUGUCCUCGCCCCAAGAGCUGCGGCGAGACGGAGCUGCAGCAUUAAGAGGUGUUGCUAUUCAGCGAGGAAGAGUUGGUCCAGCAGCCAGAGCCGCUUUUCCAGCUGGCGCGGCAUUAGCACUUGCACGUAAUCCAGGACCUCUCGCAGCAGCCGCUGCUGCUACGGCUUUACAUCCCUUUGCAUCAACUGUCUACUACGACCCCUUCUUAGCAGCACACGCAGCGACGCAAGAUCCAAACUACAGGCUGCAGGCAGCAGCAGCAGCCGCGGCGGCAUCUCCUCUCUUGAAGACUCCUCUGUCGACAGCUCAACAAGCGACUUAUGCAGCG
rnacentral:misc_RNA from 1 species